rnacentral:lncRNA from 1 species
UAUAAAGAUAGCUCUAAGCCAGCUUUUGAAGGACUUUAAAAGUCAAAUUUAAAUUUUGUCCUAGAGGUACUAGGUGGCCACUGAUGUUUAUUCAGUAGAAGCACAGUGAAAACUGUGUUUACUGAAAUCAUGGUAACUCUGUAGAGGGAGAAUUAGAUUAGGAAAAGAAAUCAGUGAGAUUAAAUAGGAUAUCUGGUUUUAAGUUUGUAAUAGGCAGUUGAAGAUUAAGAACUGAAGAACAGAAGAAAAAUUUAGACUACAUACACAGAUGUGGGAGUGAUCUACAAAGAGAUGGAAAUAAAUCCACAAAAAUUGCCAAAGAGAAAGAGAGAGGGAGCAAGAGAGAAAGAGAACUGAAGAGGAUCAGUCUACCCCAAAGAUAAAAAGGAAGCUAUAGGGGAAAAACCACAAUAUAUAAGGAAUGUCCUCUACAAAGGGCUCCAGUGCUUGUCCUGCCUUUUGACACAACAUAGUCCACAAGGAAGCAAGGGAAAAUCCACCCCUACUUCCAAGAGCAGUUUCCUCUUUGUGGCCAGGUUUCUCUUGCAUUGAUGGUUUGUACUGACUGACCUUCUUGAAUUCCUCAGGGUUUAAUAACUGAAAGUCCCCAAGGACAUGCCUAAUUUUUUUUCUCAGAGACAGUUAUCUACAUAUUGUAG